GCUUCCCGCAUCCCGCCUCAGGGGUUGCCUCCUGGUACCUUCCCGUGUAGGAAAAUGAUUUUGUCCCGCGCAGACUCCCUCAGCACUUUCUGCACUCUGAAGCCGGAGAAUGGAAUACCGUCAUCUGUCAGAAGAAAAAUGCUGAUUCUUCCCAGUCCAAAGGUGAAGAUGGUGACUGUGAAAGUAUCAGCUUUAGCCAGACCACGGAUGAAGCUCUCAGAUGUCACAGCAUCCGUGGGCUUGUGAUCUCAGGUGAAGGCGUUGAACCCUGAGCCCUGGCUUCCCAUCUCUUCACUGGCUCCCUCCACCACCUCACCCCCACAUUCAGCAUGGCUUCUAGGUUUGUGUCUUUAAUGGCGCUUAGGCAAUAAACACAAAAUACAGUGCAGUGCGGACUGCGUCUUCC